AGAGGAGGGACUCAGUGUUCACAGAUCUGACAUGAUGUAAUUGUAUCUGACAGACUGUGGUUUAAAGGAUUCAGUCUGACUCUUCUCAGAGUGAACACUGGUACAAUGGAUCUUCAUUCAGUUAUUCUGUUCUGUGCCUUAGCUGCUGCUGUCUUUGGAAAUGACAUCAAACCAAACAAAACAGACAUUUUUGAGAAGGAGGGCUUGGAUAUCACAAUGUCCUGUAUUUAUUCCUCUUCAACUACAGAUACUCUCUACUGGUACCGUCAGUAUGGAAAAUCAAAACCUGAAUUUCUUGUACUCACCUACAGCAGUGCACAAGAUGCUAAGAAAUCUGAUGUAGAUCCAAGAUUCACUGUUAAAGUAGAAAAAAGGGAACAAAUCCAUGUGUAUCUGAAGAUCUCCUCUGCUGCUGUAUCAGACUCUGCUCUGUACUACUGUGCUCUGCAGCCCACAGUGACAGGAAACACAUCAGCUCUCUACAAAAACCUGUUACAAUGA